rnacentral:snRNA from 1 species
GUUCUAUAGUUUCUUUUCUUUUAU